AACGAACGCUGGCGGCAUGCCUAACACAUGCAAGUCGAACGAGACCUUCGGGUCUAGUGGCGCACGGGUGCGUAACGCGUGGGAACCUGCCCUUAGGUUCGGAAUAACUCCCCGAAAGGGGUGCUAAUACCGGAUAAUGUCUUCGGACCAAAGAUUUAUCGCCUUUGGAUGGGCCUGCGUUGGAUUAGCUAGUUGGUAGGGUAAAAGCCUACCAAGGCGACGAUCCAUAGCUGGUCUGAGAGGAUGAUCAGCCACACUGGGACUGAGACACGGCCCAGACUCCUACGGGAGGCAGCAGUAGGGAAUAUUGGACAAUGGGCGAAAGCCUGAUCCAGCAAUGCCGCGUGAGUGAUGAAGGCCUUAGGGUUGUAAAGCUCUUUUACCCGGGAUGAUAAUGACAGUACCGGGAGAAUAAGCUCCGGCUAACUCCGUG
rnacentral:rRNA from 1 species